rnacentral:rRNA from 1 species
UACGUAGGGUGCAAGCGUUGUCCGGAAUUAUUGGGCGUAAAGAGCUCGUAGGCGGUCUGUCGCGUCGGCUGUGAAAACUCGGGGCUCAACCCCGAGCCUGCAGUCGAUACGGGCAGACUAGAGUGCGGUAGGGGAGACUGGAAUUCCCGGUGUAGUGGUGGAAUGCGUAGAUAUCGGGAGGAACACCAGUGGCGAAGGCGGUUGCCUGGAGCUUUGCUGACGCUGAUGCGCGAAAGCGUGGGGAGCGAGUCCGG